GACGAACGCUGGCGGCGUGCUUAACACAUGCAAGUCGAACGGAAAGGCCCUGCUUUUGUGGGGUGCUCGAGUGGCGAACGGGUGAGUAACACGUGAGUAACCUGCCCUUGACUUUGGGAUAACUUCAGGAAACUGGGGCUAAUACCGGAUAGGAGCUCCUGCUGCAUGGUGGGGGUUGGAAAGUUUCGGCGGUUGGGGAUGGACUCGCGGCUUAUCAGCUUGUUGGUGGGGUAGUGGCUUACCAAGGCUUUGACGGGUAGCCGGCCUGAGAGGGUGACCGGCCACAUUGGGACUGAGAUACGGCGCAGAGUCCUGCGGGAGGCAGCAGUGGGGAAUGUUGCACAGUGGGCGGAAGCCUGAUGCAGGAGCGCCGCGGGCGGGAUGACGGCCUUCGGGUUGUAAACCGCUUUCGCCUGUGACGAAGCGUGAGUGACGGUAAUGGGUAAAGAAGCACCGGCUAACUACGUG
rnacentral:rRNA from 1 species